GCUUACUCUCUCAUGUGCUCUUAUAUAUCUAUAAAAUACCCCUCUUUCUACAACUCUGCUCUGCACUCAUAUAGUCUCUAAUAAUUUCUUUAUAUAAUUUCUAAUAUUCUUUCACUUCACACUUCACUGCAGUACAAUCUCUGAUAUUCUUUCAUUUCAAUUUUUUCUUUAUAAGAACCUUCUUAUACAAUCUCUUCUUCUGAUCUUCUUUCUCUUUCUUUUCUUAAUUGAUUUAUAAACUGUUAUCAGAAUAGUGUCAAAUCUGUAGAUAGUGUUAUUGAAAUGAAUUGUAUAAACUGUAUAGAUAAUAUGAACAGUUUAAU
rnacentral:sRNA from 2 species